rnacentral:rRNA from 1 species
UACGAAGGGGGCUAGCGUUGCUCGGAAUCACUGGGCGUAAAGCGCACGUAGGCGGCUUCUUAAGUCAGGGGUGAAAUCCUGGAGCUCAACUCCAGAACUGCCUUUGAUACUGAGGAGCUUGAGUCCGGGAGAGGUGAGUGGAACUGCGAGUGUAGAGGUGAAAUUCGUAGAUAUUAGGAAGAACACCAGUGGCGAAGGCGGCUCACUGGCCCGGUACUGACGCUGAGGCGCGAAAGCGUGGGGAGCAAACAGG